rnacentral:rRNA from 1 species
GAUGAACGCUAGCGGCAGGCCUAAUACAUGCAAGUCGAACGGGUGGUCGCAAGACCACUAGUGGCGCACGGGUGCGUAACGCGUAACCAACCUGCCCCGAUCUGGGGGAUAGCCCGCCGAAAGGCGGAUUAAUACCGCAUAUACCCGCAGCCUGGCAUCAGGCAACGGGGAAAGAUUUAUUGGAUCGGGAUGGGGUUGCGUGACAUUAGCUAGUUGGCGGGGUAAGGGCCCACCAAGGCGACGAUGUCUAGGGGACCUGAGAAGGUGAUCCCCCACACUGGCACUGAGAUACGGGCCAGACUCCUACGGGAGGCAGCAGUAGGGAAUAUUAGGCAAUGGGCGAGAGCCUGACCCAGCCAUGCCGCGUGCCGGAUGAAGGCCUUCUGGGUUGUAAACGGCUUUUCUCAGGGAAGAAAAAGACCUUGCGAGGUACACUGACGGUACCUGAGGAAUAAGCACCGGCUAACUCCGUG